CCCUUAGAUGUUCUGGGCCGCACGCGCGCUACACUGACGAAGUCAGCGAGCAUGUCCUACGCCGACAGGUGCGGGGAAUCUUGUCAAACUUCGUCGUGAUGGGGAUUGAUUAUUGAAAUUCUUGAUCAUGAACGAGGAAUUCCUAGUAAGCGCAAGUCAGCAGCUUGCGUUGAUUACGUCCCUGCCCUUUGUACACACCGCCCGUCGCUACUACCGAUUGAAUGGUUUAGUGAGAUCUUCGGAUUGGCGCCACUGCGGCUCGGCAACGGGCUCGGUGGAUGCCGAAAAGUUGAUCAAACUUGAUCAUUUAGAGGAAGUAAAAGUCGUAACA
rnacentral:rRNA from 1 species